AAGAUGAGAAUUUCCUGAGAGUUUCUCUCUCCUCCCGCGUUUCUCUUUCUGGACUUUCUCUCUCCUCUUUUCUCAUCUCUUGCGCUUUCCUUCCUGGAGUUCAUCUGCUCUUGCUCGUUGAUAUUCGGUUCUCGUUCUCGCAAAUUUGGUUCGUAAUGGUUGAAAAUGUUUGAACAUAAGCUUUUUAAUCCAAGAGCAGUGAUGGGAUUCGGCAUUCUGAAAGGAAUUCAAUUGGACUUUUGAAUCUUAGCUUGUGAUUCAAUUAUGUGGUCUCGAAUACGUAAGUGGCAGUAGAGUUGGAUUUUGUGAAGGUCCGGUUACUUGGGUAAGUGCUACAAGUGCUGAAUUCGCCUUGUACUAAUUUGAGGCAACUUCUUGUUGCUCGCGAAUCGCCACUAUGGCUCUAUGCUUCUCUCCGUAUCAAAAAAUCGAAGCCUUUACUUUUGACUUAUUUUAAUUUACUUUAUUUGGUUUUUA